GAACUCGGAUCUGCCUGCAUCU
rnacentral:misc_RNA from 1 species